ACGAAGGGGGCUAGCGUUGCUCGGAAUCACUGGGCGUAAAGCGCACGUAGGCGGAUCUUUAAGUCAGGGGUGAAAUCCCGGAGCUCAACUCCGGAACUGCCUUUGAUACUGAGGAUCUUGAGUUCGAGAGAGGUGAGUGGAACUGCGAGUGUGGAGGUGAAAUUCGUAGAUAUUCGCAAGAACACCAGUGGCGAAGGCGGCUCACUGGCUCGUAACUGACGCUCAUGCACGACAGCGUGGGGAUCAAACAGGA
rnacentral:rRNA from 1 species